UACGUAGGGCGCAAGCGUUAUCCGGAAUUAUUGGGCGUAAAGAGCUCGUAGGCGGUUUGUCGCGUCUGCCGUGAAAGUCCGGGGCUCAACUCCGGAUCUGCGGUGGGUACGGGCAGACUAGAGUGAUGUAGGGGAGACUGGAAUUCCUGGUGUAGCGGUGAAAUGCGCAGAUAUCAGGAGGAACACCGAUGGCGAAGGCAGGUUC
rnacentral:rRNA from 1 species